GAUGAACGCUAGCUACAGGCUUAACACAUGCAAGUCGAGGGGAAACGACAUCGAAAGCUUGCUUUUGAUGGGCGUCGACCGGCGCACGGGUGAGUAACGCGUAUCCAACCUGCCCACCACUUGGGGAUAACCUUGCGAAAGUAAGACUAAUACCCAAUGAUAUCUCUGGAAGACAUCUGAAAGAGAUUAAAGAUUUAUCGGUGAUGGAUGGGGAUGCGUCUGAUUAGCUUGUUGGCGGGGUAACGGCCCACCAAGGCAACGAUCAGUAGGGGUUCUGAGAGGAAGGUCCCCCACAUUGGAACUGAGACACGGUCCAAACUCCUACGGGAGGCAGCAGUGAGGAAUAUUGGUCAAUGGACGAGAGUCUGAACCAGCCAAGUAGCGUGCAGGAAGACGGCCCUAUGGGUUGUAAACUGCUUUUAUAAGGGAAUAAAGUGAGUCUCGUGAGACUUUUUGCAUGUACCUUAUGAAUAAGGACCGGCUAAUUCCGUG
rnacentral:rRNA from 1 species